UAUUUUCCUACAAUAAAUAGGCCUGAUGUUGACGAUUUAAUCGUCGAAAGCUCGGCAAAAACUUAAAGAAUUGUCGUUCUGCUGUGACCUCACCGAAGAUUCUUUUCUAAGUUGUUUAACAUCAGGUCGAUCCAUCAUCUUAUCUUUAAUAAUUUUGUUAAUUUCGUAGUGAAUUUUCUCUUUAGGCAUAGGAACACUCGUUAACUACUUGGGUCAGUCUACUAGCUAAUAGAGUCCAUCAAGGAUUUGUGCUAUCCUUUUUAUUUUUAUCAUGCCAGUUGACGUAAUACAAAUCCUCUUUAACACGUUUAACAUUGGUUAGUAAUUCAACCAACCCGAAGACGACCAAACCGAAUAAGUGAUCCUAGCCGGUUCAGCAUGAGUUCACCGACUCGCAGAUCAACACCCAUCAACCAUUAUAAAAAAAUUCACAGAUCGAGCUAGCACACGAUCUUCAAUGCAUCUUGCGUUAGGGAGCCAUCGAUGGAUAUCAUGUUCGACCUUCCACAGAAAUGCCUGUCCAAACCAUAACAUCAGCACCUCCAUAGCUUCUUGGGAGUGAAAAUGCUCGAACAUCUAUCUGAGGUGUGACACGUUGGAGACCUGAUCCAUGCCUUCUUGUUGCCUCCAGUAUCUUGUUAGCUAUCUGUAGCGCACACAGGGAUCCAAGGUAAUGAGGAAGCCACAGAAAACGCUGAGCUCGAAACAACAGUCACAGUAGUGCCGAAACGCUACCUCAUCUCCAUGGCCUCGAAAAAUGACAUUGGCCCAAUGGGAGGAACGUUGGAGGCGUACUACUAAAGGUCUUCAAACUAAAAAGUUCUUCCCAACGGUAGAAUCGAGGAUGGCAGUAGAACUGAAACACCACCAUAUGCUUAGCCAACUUGUAAGUGGCCGUGGACAAACUCGAGAAUAUCUCUGUAGAUUCCACAUAACACAGGAUUCGGAAUGCGACUGUUCUGGGAGACCUCAACAAACGUGAGACCACAUCUUAUUCGACUGCCAUGGGGCUAAGAACCACGCCGAAAAGCUGCAAUAAGGGAUGUUGUAUGUAAGGGUGGACAAUGGCCACCAGACUAUCACAUUUUGAUUAAAGACCACAU